GAUGAACGCUGGCGGCGUGCCUAAUACAUGCAAGUCGAGCGAACGCAGGAGAAGCUUUCCUUUCUGACGUUAGCGGCGGACGGGGGAGUAACACGUGUGUAACCUAUCUAUAAGACUGGGAAAACUUCCGGAAACCGGAGCCAAUACCGGACAAACUUCUGAACCGCAUGGCUCAACAGCGAAAGACGGUCUUGCUUCUACUUAUAGAGGGCACCGCGCGGCAUUAGCUAGAUGGUAAGCUAACGGCUUACCAAGGCAACGAUGCAUAGCCGACCUGAGAGGGUGACCGGCCACACUAGAACUGAGACACGGUGCAGACGCCUACGGGAGGCAGCAGUCGGCAAUAUUCCGCAAUGGGCGAAAGCCUGAUGGAGCAACGCCGCGUGGGUGAUGAAGGUUUUCGGAGCGUGAAGCUCUGUUACUGGGGACGAACAGAUGUCUAAGUAACGGUGCACACCGUGACGGGACCCACUCAGAGAGUCACGGCGAAGUACGCG
rnacentral:rRNA from 1 species